rnacentral:rRNA from 1 species
AAGUAGGGCGAGGAAAAGAAAUCAACCGAGAUUCCGCAAGUAGUGGCGAGCGAACGCGGAAGAGGCCAAACCGAGAGAAGAAAUUUUUUCGGGGUUAGGACAGAAUAAGGUAUUGAUAAGGUCUAACAGAAGAACAUGGGAAGGUUCACCAAAGAGAGUGAUAGUCUCGUAUGUGAAAGACCGAGUCAGCUGACUGUAUCCAGAGUACCGCCGGACACGUGAAACCCGGUGGGAAUAUGGGGGGACCAUCCUCCAAGCCUAAAUACUCCCUGGUGACCGAUAGAGAACAGUACUGUGAAGGAAUGGUGAAAAGAACCCCGGGAGGGGAGUGAAAAGAACCUGAAACCUUAUGCUUACAAGCACAUAAAGCACGUCAACGUGUGAUAUGGUACCUUUUGUAGAAUGGUCCGGCGAGUGAAUGUAACCGGCAAGGUUAAGCUCUUAAGGAGUGAAGCCGAAGCGAAAGCAAGUCUGAAAUGGGCGCAGAGUCGGUUGUAUUCGACCCGAAACCGGGUGACCUAGCCAUGUCCAGGCUGAAGUGAAGGUAAAACUUCAUGGAGGGCCGAACCCACUCCCGUUGAAAUGGUAGGGGAUGAGGUGUGGCUAGCGGAGAAAUUCCAAUCGAACCCGGAGAUAGCUGGUUCUCUCCGAAAUAGCUUUAGGGCUAGCCUCGAUUUGACAUUACCGGAGGUAGAGCACUGAAUAGGCUAGGGGCCGAGAGGUUACUGAACCUUAUCAAACUCCGAAUGCCGGAUAAUGAUGAUCGGGAGUCAGACUGCGGGAGAUAAGUUUCGUAGUCAAAAGGGAAACAGCCCAGACCCACAGCUAAGGUCCCGAAGUACAGUUAAGUGGAAAAGGAUGUGGGGUUGCAUAGACAACCAGGAUGUUGGCUUAGAAGCAGCCACUCAUUAAAAGAGUGCGUAAUAGCUCACUGGUCGAGUGGCUCUGCGCCGAAAAUUCAACGGGGCUAAAACAUAUACCGAAGCUUGGGCUUGACAGUAAUGUCAGGGGUAGGGGAGCGUUGUGUAAGGGGUGAAGUCAUAGCGAAAGCGGUGGUGGACUUUACACAAGUGAGAAUGCCGGAAUGAGUAGCGAGAAUUAUGUGAGAAUCAUAAUGGCCGAAAAUCUAAGGUUUCAGAAGGAAGGUUCGUCCGCUUCUGGUAAGCCGGGAGCUAAGGCGAGGCCGAAAGGCGUAGCCGAUGCACAUACGGUAGAAAUUCCGUAGCCUCUAUCAAUUUAAACACAGGGACACUUUUGAAGGGUUCAGCCGGGCGAUGGUUGCCCCGGUCGUAAGGGACUGCAAAUGAGCGGGAAGUGAAUUUGGAAGAAGGCGAGAAAAGCUGUGUGAAUAGAAGAUAGAGCCCGUACCGCAAACCGACACAGGUAGAUAGGAAGAAGAUUCUAAGGCCAACGGGAGAAGGGUUGUUAAGGAACUCGGCAAGUUGACCCCGUAACUUAGGGAGAAGGGGUGCUCUUUAAGGAGAGCCGCAGAGAAUAGGCCCAAGCGACUGUUUAGCAAAAACACAGCUCUAUGCUAAAUCGAAAGAUGACGUAUAUGGGGUGACACCUGCCCGGUGCUGGAAGGUUAAGAGGAGAUGUGAGAGCAUUGAAUUGAAGCCCCAGUAAACGGCGGCCGUAACUAUAACGGUCCUAAGGUAGCGAAAUUCCUUGUCAGGUAAGUUCUGACCCGCACGAAUGG